UCAAAGGCCAGGGCCCUCCAUCCUCUUUGCCUUUAUUUUCUGUUCUUCUUACUAUCUCAGCAAAGACACCACAGCUGGCCUGAGAGCUUGGCGGCUCCUGCAGCUGCCAGCUCUUUAGAAACAAUGGGUCACACGGGCUGAGGCUGGCCACUGUGUCCCCAGCUGACAGGCAUCUGCACAGACCAUGUUCCUGGCCAUGAGGGAGUCCCCUGCUACAGCCUGAGCUGAGGACGCCUGCAGGGUGGGUGCUGGAGCCACUCUGAGGCAGGCCUGUGGCUGCCAGCGAAGGACACAGUCAUCAGUGAGUUUGGCUUCGUGGCCUCCUGUCCUCACAUUUCCCAGUGGGACCUUCCUCUAGCUCAGGAAGCUGUGGAUACGGGUAGCUUUCAGUAGCCCUGAAUUUGCUUCCUUAAGAUGGUGAGUGAGUUGCCAACAAAACCACAGAAUUGCAACCAAUGGUCAACCAAGGGGCCACUUAAAUGGAAACCACCCUGUGAGGAGCAAAGAGAGGCAUAAGGAGACAGCAAGUGAAGUGACCCGCGGUCAUAGCUUUAGACAACUCUGGAGAUGACCUUCAAGUUGCACAUGGAAAAUGAGAAGAGGCCUACACGUGGAGGGCUGAGGGGAGCCCCAGGCGCGGGGCACAGCAAAGGCAAAGCUCCCCGGUCUCCGUGUGUCAUGGAAGGGGAAGGAGGCCAGCGCAGCCGGACCAACAGAAACCUCGGAGCAACCUGGAAAGAGGGUUUCCUGGUCGACAUGUCUCUGUUGGAGAGAAGGAGAAAGUUUCCAGCCAAAGCUGUAACAAGUCAGCCAAGCUUUUAUUCUCACUGCUCAGCGUAACCUACGUCUCCAGGAUUUGGUCACAUUUCCUGGCACCUAUGGAAGCAGGAGGAAGAGGGCUGACCAACCCCAUGGCUGGCCUCUUGCCCCCCCCCCAGGAGCAAGGGAAGGAGAGCGAGCAGGAAGAAGCACAGCUUGAGUGGACUUCAGGCCUUCAUCUCCAGAGGCCCACCACUGACAACACUGUCACUGGAACCAGAGGGACAUCUCUCCUCCUGGGCCAAACAUGCAUGUGGGGCUUCAUCCAAAUAUAGACCUUCAAGACUGGAUUUUGAGUUUUUGCUUGAAAAAAAUACUGUACACUGUUUUAGGGCUGAUUUGCCAGGUGCUGCUGUUGUAAGAACAUUCUCAGUUCCUAUCUUUCGAGGACGUGGGCAUUAUUUCUUCAUGUGCAGGGCAUCCUGGAACUUGGUGCUGGUAUAUCGAGCAUGAAAGCCUUUCUUGUUGAUGGUGUCAUCCGUGUGGAAGCGAAUCAUCAAGGAAUCCCCUGCAGAGUAGAUCUCUUCCAGUGGCUAAGAAAAGGAGAAAGGGAUACCAGGAGACCUGAGGUCAGUUGGCUGUGACUAGAGUUUAAACGAGGAUGGGACAGGACCAUACCCAAGGACACAGGAUGGCCAAUGCAGCUACGAGGUGUCCCUGGCCCUGCAGACAGAGGGCAUCCAAAUGAGAUCCUUUCCACAGGAAAGCACUGCAAAUUCUCCAGAAAGUUCCCUGAGCCCUGCUUUUCCAAACACGCUCCUAGACCCACAGAUCACAGAGAACCUGUGGUUUAUGAGGUGCACGGAUGGUUCAGGCACUGUGCCCAGCACUUCCAGAUCUGACCUCAUGGACACUUGCAGGAACUUUAUGAGGCAGAUACUCCCUCCAUCCACACUGAGGAAACCAAGACUCAAGUGCACACAGGUGGGUAGGAUCUGAGCUCAGCUCUUUCUGACUGUGAAUUACGUGCCAUACAUCACCCAGCUCUGUCAAUUCACCACUGUGUUUCCCAGGGGACCAAAAUCUUCAGGUUAUGUCCUGUCCAAGGACAAAAAGUGCACUGGAGCUGACUACACCUGUCAGAAAGGUUCUGGCAAGUUCUAGGACUGCCACCUGCCAGGUCCUAGUAGAGCCAAAUGGGGCUUCCCACAGAGCGCUGUGCUUGAGACCCACCAAGGCUCCUCUCCACAGUGGAAAGGACCAUACCCCAGGCAGCGCAUCUGGGAAGUCACACUCUGUCAUUCCUUCUUUUUUGGAGGGUGAAGGUAGAUGGAGGGAAAUUAUUGAAAGACGUAAAUAUACCAUGUCAGUUUUCUGUCUACAAGGAGCUCCCGUGAUUCCAAAGGCUUUGACAUAAGUCCAGCCAAUAGCAAAGAAGAUUGAGUGAUGACCCCUGGAGGCAGAGAAAAGGGCUGGAGCCCAGUGUGCGCAGUGUGCGGUGUGGCAGGGCCAGGGAGCCACCAGGGCAUUGUACUGGUUGGCUCACUACAUCACUGAGCGCAGUAUACAGCCAGGCCCUGAGCCCUGUGCUGGGAAAAGAAUAAACAAAACAGGCCUGUCCUGGUCCUGGGUCGGUGGUCUAGGAAAGAGACAAACAUGAGAAAAGUGACAGUGACUUUGAGUACAAGUAUUAUUUACAGUAACUGCUUAUUUCAUAAGCAUUUGGCUUUGCAUGGGGAGAGAAUUAUGAGUAUAGGGAAUAUACAGAAUCAUAAUUAAAUAGUAAGAAAUUCCUGAAAGAAAAAAAAAAUGGGAGAGAGGAUCCUUUGUAAAAAUAGGGCCUAAAAGCCCAGUACUCUUCCUUGGACUGACCUCAGUCCAAAGCCUUCAUGAACUGGUUCCCGACUCCCUCCCAACCUCCUCUCCCGGGAGCCUCCUGUUUCCCCCUCCCCUGCAGGAAACAUGGGCCUCCUGACUGUUGCUAUAAGCGUUAGGAACAGUUAGGUCUCAAACUCAUGCUCUGAAUCCCUGGUUUUCGCCCAUGGCACUGGCACUGGGGACUCACCCCUGAGCCACAGAAGCGGCCGAGCCUGGGUGCUGAGCUGUCGUAGCCGUCGUAGGCCUCCAUGUAGUCAUAGCCACAGUCGGCCUCCUCCUCCACCUCAAAGGUCCGGAAUAUCAGCUCCACGCCGUAGCCGUCCUCUGCCACGAUCACCCAGUCACAGUGGGCCUGGCUUGGGUAGUUGUUGUCCCCAAACUGGGCAUGGGAAUACAGCUCUUUGGUCUGCACUUCGGCCUUCAGCCUGCCCCCACACUCUGCAGCAGAGAGAAUGAGAUCUUCCCUUGGCACCCAGAACCCCCGUGCCUGGUGCGUGCCCUGCAGGGGAGGCCAGGCAAGGCCGUUAUGCCAUGUCACAGGGGAGUCAACAGAGGCCCGGGAUUCCAAGGUCAGGGAUCCCUGAGGGGCCAAACUGGCCCUUACCAAACAAGGUUCCAUGUUCCCAUGGUGGGCCACAUCAGGCCUCUGGGAAUCCCAGAGCAUGGCGCUGAAAAGCUGGCUGUUGUUUUUCUCCCCACACUUAAGAAGACGGGGGUAGAUGAACGGUGUGCCCCACUGGUUGCUGGGAUGUGGGAUCUGGUUUCAAGUCCUGGAAGUGCCAGCAGCUCAAGAUGGGCUCAGCAGCCCCCUAGACUUACUGUCACUUUUCAUUUCUGCCAACAGAGGGCGAUAAAGGCACAUCAGAACUGCAGCUGAGUGCCCAAACCCAGAGACCUCAAUCUACUGGACUGGCUCUUGCAUUUGGGAGGUUUGACGCGGGUGUCACAGCCACACCUCAGCUUUGGGCUUGGAUUCCGUAGCCUUGGCUUCUGUGUUUUACCAGGACAGAAGCCCAGGAUGCCCUGGGCCUGUACCAUCUUGGGUCUAGGCUACUAAAAUAAAAUGGGUAAAUGAGA